GUUAAAACUCUCUCAAAAAAAAAAACCUACUUUCCCAAACAAAACCCUACCUUCCUUCUACUUCUCCACUCAUUGCCUUUUCCUCCUCCUCCUCUUCCUCCAAGAACCACACCGAACCAAAUCGCCGCAAUUCGAUCCCAAUCCUCUCACAGCUCAAGCUUCACACACUACCAAAUAAACGACAAAUUCCACCGAAAAGAAAAAACACAACCAGAAUCUAAAUCCGAAGAAAGAAAGGUGUAAAAGUGCGAUUACAAUGGCGACGAGAGACUGUGAGACAAAAAAAGUAGGGAGAAUUUUUCGAAGAUUUCCUCUCACUGUAGCAGCUCCGUUUUGUUCGAAGAUUCCUUUCUCUCUCUCUCCCUCUCUCUCUCUCUGUGUCUGUCUCUCUCUUAAUUUGUGUUUGGGGGGAGGGAGAAAAUGCGAGAAAGAGAGGGAAAAAAUUGUAGUGAAAGUGAGUGAGUGAGUUGAGUGAUCAGUGAGAGAAAGAGAGAGAGAGAGUGAGUGAGUUUUUGAUGAAUUAAAAGCAAAAGGCAGCUGAAACUGAAAUAAUAGGGUUUUUUCUCUUGUUUUUAGAUUAGAAUUUUUUUUUUCUUUUUUUUUUUGGGGCGUUCGUUUCGGUCUCUAGUAAAAAGCCAUUGACUAUUUUGUUUGCGUGCUAUUGAAUUGAUUUUUUUUUCCCCUCUUUUUUGUUUGUUUUUUGGUGCAGUAAAAUCUUCAUUGGAGGCUUAGCCAAGUACACCACCUACGAAACCUUUGUGAGUUACUUUGAGAAGUAUGGAAAGAUAACAACUUCUGUUAUAAUGAAAGACCGGCACACACAUCGACCAAGGGGAUUCGGUUUCAUAACCUAUGAGGAUCCUUCUGUUGUUGACCAGAUGAUCCAAGAGACGCAUGUCAUCAAUGGCAAGCAGGUUAUUCUAUGUUCUCUUAAAUAUCUCCCACCGGUGCAUCACACCACCACUUCCUCCACCAUUACUUUCCGGUGGGAUUUACUGGGGAAAACUCCAUAGCAACCUCCAUUAUCUCAAAUUUUAAAGGUAAAAAUCUUAACUAUUUUGGUAGCUUUUCAUGUUGUUGUAAGAUUUUUUUUAAUCUAAGCUACUUGAGUGACAUACACGUGAUUGAGUAUAUGGGUUUUGAUUUGGUGACUCAUUUGUUAAAUGGUUAAGGGUUUUUUUACAAAUGGUGAUCAUUUGGGUUCCUUGAGCAAUCAUUGGGGUUGAUUUUUGGAAGUGUGUUUAAUUUCUUUGCAUUUGAAUGGCUUUGGCAUGUGUGGAUGUGAGUGUAGUGUUUACUUUGAACUUUGUUUAAGGGAUGUAAGCAUGUGGUUAUUGCAUACCAAAUGUUUGAUAAAUUACCUCAAUGAGUUAUGAAAUUGUAUUUGCUUGAGUUUGUGGAUGUGAUAAUUCUUUAUAUGACUAUUCAUUUGUACAUAUUACACUUGCCUAAUUUUUAUUACGGCUUGAUCUUAUUAUAUAGUACCCAAAUGGAAUUCAUGAGACUAGCUACCUCCAUUUUUUAAAGUGAUGUGUGUUAUUUUAUCUAAUGAAUGCACAUUAUUUGCAGUAGGGAUAUAAAAUGCUUUGGUUGUUUACAACCCUAUGAGUUUCUUGUAUGCUUGUGUGGUUACGGUUUGGGAAAGGGGUACUUCUCUUAGAAUGGGCAAGCUAGGCUUUAGGGCAUUAGUUAUGCUACUUACUGGGCUUUAGCUCAUCCUGCUCUCAUAGUUUUACAAACUGGAAAGCAUGGACACAGUAGUUGGGCUGCCAUGUUCGUAUCCAACACCCUUUGUCACUGUGGCUUGUGGAUAUGGUAACCAUGCUAGCUGUAGGCGGCAGAUCUCUAUAAAUUUACCAGAGAGAGAUAGAAACUAAUCUGUUUGUUUUCAUUUUUUUUGUUUUUUGUUUUUUGGUCUUGAGAUAAAAAGAAACUAAUUCGUUCUCUAAAGAAGAAAGAAAGAAUUGUGGCACUGUGGCUAUAGAUGGGGUGUAGGUGGGGAAAUUAAUUGGGUUUUGCCAAAAAGAAAGAAGUGUGGCUAUAAAUGGGGGUAGGUGGGAAAAUUAAUCAAGUGUUUUUUUUAUUCAAGGAAUGUAUGGAUAGAUUGCCACAUAUCCCUGCCGUACUUGUGUCUUACUUUUUAAAAAAUUGCCAUGUCACCAUACUGUACCCGCACUCGUAUCCAUGUAGGUGCUUCCUAGUUUACAGAUCAAUUAGCUAUACCUCGAGUAUGAAGUUUAUUUAUUGGGGGUGAUUGGAGUACUAUGAAAAAUUAGGAGAUUUGUGCUGUAAAUAGUUGGUAACUCAACUUGUUAAAUUUAGAGGCCAUAGCUAAUCCUAUUGGAGGUUAGGCUCAAGGUUUGUUAGCCCUAGGCGUGGUGGGUCUAGAUUUUUUGGUUGAGGUUACGAAUUCUAGGAAGGAUUGUUACCUUGUGUUAAUUCAUAUGGAGUUUUGAAAUAGUUUAUGUAUAAUUGGAGGCACAUGAUUCAAUUGUAGCAUUUGUAAUUGUGUUAUAGAGCUCUGAUUUAUAUUGUGGAGAGUUCAGAAUGUUUACUUAUCUUUAUCAUAAAGAAAGGGGGAAAAAAUCCCUUACCAUUUUUCUUGAUGGUUCUUUUUCGCAUGAUUUGGACCUAUUUGGGUUCGGGUCGUGACAGACACUUCACAAAGCUGUGCCUUCAGACAGUUAGCUUGAAAAACCAAAAAAAAAAACACCCAUCCUUCUGGAGAGGACUUCAUAUCUUCACUUCCGCCACCAAAUCCAAAGUCUCAAAGACAGAUAUAGUCUUAUCAAGCCCAACGCAGUGAGUUUGUUGCAUCUGAUGAUGAAAGUUGGAUUAUACUGGACAUAUGAAUGUGUUAAUAUAUGCCUAAUGUUAAGAUAAACAAAAUGCCCCUCACGAUCGUUUUCUGUAAUGCAUCCUUUUUCACUUUUUAUAGAUUCACUCCAAAUGAUGAAUUUUUACGUUCAAUUGUUAUGAAAAUAAAUAAGAGUUAGAUUUAGUGGGAUAACUUUGAUUAUCCAA